rnacentral:rRNA from 2 species
GAGUAAUGUAUAGGAAUCUACCUAGUAGUACGGAAUAAUUGUUGGAAACGGCAACUAAUACCGUAUACGCCCUACGGGGGAAAAAUUUAUUGCUAUUAGAUGAGCCUAUAUUAGAUUAGUUAGUUGGUGAGGUAAAGGCUUACCAAGACAAUGAUCUAUAGCUGAUCUGAGAGGAUGAUCAGCCACACUGGAACUGAGAUACGGUCCAGACUCCUACGGGAGGCAGCAGUGGGGAAUAUUGGACAAUGGGCGAAAGCCUGAUCCAGCCAUGCCGCAUGAGUGAAGAAGGCCUUCGGGUUGUAAAGCUCUUUUAGUGAGGAAGAUAAUGACGGUACUCACAGAAGAAGUCCUGGCUAACUCCGUGCCAGCAGCCGCGGUAAUACGGAGAGGGCUAGCGUUAUUCGGANUCAUUGGGCGUAAAGGGCGCGUANGCGGGUUAGUAAGUUUAAAGUGAAAUCCCAAGGCUCAACCUUGGAACUGCUUUUAAAACUGCUAGUCUAGAGAUUGAAAGAGGAUAGAGGAAUUCCUAGUGUAGAGAUGAAAUUCGUAAAUAUUANGAGGAACACCNGUGGCGAAGGCGUCUAUCUGGUUCAAAUCUGACGCUGAGGCGCGAA